UUUUGAGUGUUGGUAUGUCUCAUGCAAUAUUUGGAACAUACUUAUACUAAAG
rnacentral:miRNA from 1 species